rnacentral:sRNA from 1 species
CCCACGUCGUGGCACUCUGUCUCUUCCGCAUCCACAACGCUUCUGCAGUCUGCCUGCGAGCCCCAGUCUCAGAGUCCCUGUCCCGGCUACAGAGGGACCAGCUGCAAAAGUUUGCUCAGUACCUCAUCAGUGAGCUCCCUCAGCAGAUCCUCCCCACAGCUCAGCGUCUCCUGGACGAACUCCUGUCUUCCCAGUCAACAGCCAUCAAUACAGUGUGUGGAGCUCCGGACCCCACAGCAGGGCCCUCAGCAUCGGACCAGAGUACUUGGUAUCUGGAUGAAUCGACACUCACUGACAACAUCAAAAAGACACU